ensembl:lncRNA
GUUUUUAUUCCAGUCCCAAAGAAAGGCAAUGCCAAAGAAUGUUCAAUACUUAAGGCAUUGAAUACUAAGGUCUUCUCAACAAUGUAGAAUUCAGAAUACUGAUGAGUAUUAGUAGUAAACUAAGAAGAACAGAGAAACUGAAUUAAAAGUGAGAAAAUGGAGAGAGGCAAAAGGCACAGAAAGCUGGAGCUGAUAGUCCUCUAGACAACUGACAGCUGCCUGAAACUGCAGCAGGGCCAUUCCUGAUGGGCAGGACUACAAGCCCUGACUCAUAUUCUGUGUCGCAAGAUGGGAGGAUGGUGUCACCGACUCGAUGGACAUGAGUCUGAGCAAGCUCCAGGAGAUGGUGAAGGACAUGGAAGCCUGGCGUGCUGCAGUCGAUGGAGCUGCAAAGAGUUGGACAUGAAUGAGCGCCUGAACAACAAGAUAGAGACUGAAUAGUAUCUCAAACCUGUCCUGUUUACUACAAUGUG